rnacentral:rRNA from 1 species
GACGAACGCUGGCGGCGUGCCUAAUACAUGCAAGUAGAACGCUGAAGGAGGAGCUUGCUUCUCCGGAUGAGUUGCGAACGGGUGAGUAACGCGUAGGUAACCUGCCUGGUAGCGGGGGAUAACUAUUGGAAACGAUAGCUAAUACCGCAUAACAGUAGAUAUUGCAUGAUAUCUGCUUGAAAGGUGCAAAUGCAUCACUACCAGAUGGACCUGCGUUGUAUUAGCUAGUUGGUGGGGUAACGGCUCACCAAGGCGACGAUACAUAGCCGACCUGAGAGGGUGAUCGGCCACACUGGGACUGAGACACGGCCCAGACUCCUACGGGAGGCAGCAGUAGGGAAUCUUCGGCAAUGGACGGAAGUCUGACCGAGCAACGCCGCGUGAGUGAAGAAGGUUUUCGGAUCGUAAAGCUCUGUUGUAAGAGAAGAAUGAGUGUGAGGGUGGAAAGUUCACACUGUGACGGUAUCUUACCAGAAAGGGACGGCUAACUACGUGC